UACGUAGGGUGCAAGCGUUAAUCGGAAUUACUGGGCGUAAAGCGUGCGCAGGCGGUUUUGUAAGUCUGUCGUGAAAGCCCCGGGCUCAACCUGGGAAUUGCGAUGGAGACUGCAAGGCUUGAAUCUGGCAGAGGGGGGUAGAAUUCCACGUGUAGCAGUGAAAUGCGUAGAGAUGUGGAGGAACACCGAUGGCGAAGGCAGCCCCCUGGGUUGACACUGACGCUCAGGCACGAAAGCGUGGGGAGCAAACAGG
rnacentral:rRNA from 1 species